GUGGUUUGGUCAUUUUAACGGUUUUGCUCCAAUAGUUUAAAAAUAGUCAUUUUCCUCUUUUGAGUUUGUCGCCAAUUUGCUCGCUGGCUCUAACUCGGUUAAGACGUUCAAUCAAAAGUAGGGGUAUUUCGUUAGUUUACUCCCUGGCUCUAACUCAAUUAAAACGUUUAGUUAAAAAUCGCGGUAGUCGUGGUCGGCAGGUGGUGGUGGAUGGUGGACGGUAAAAAGAGUGGUUGGAAAGACGGGAUCAGAAAAAAUAAUUACUUAUAGACAUGUAAAUAGACAUGUUAUAGGUUUAUUUAGUUGAAAAGACUUACAUGCCCUUUGCUUUUAUCUAUAAAAUUACCAAAAUACCCUUCUAGUUAAUGGAUUUUUUUGAAUGAAGUUUAGAGCAAAAUGACGAUAAGUUAGAUAAAUCAGAGAGGAAAAUGACUAUUUUCAAACUAUUGAGCCACAACCGUUAAAAUUACCAAAUGGAAGUUAACUCUUCAGGCAGUCAAACUAUAUAAUAUUGAGCACCUGAUUUUUAACAGGAGUAACGGCCCCUUUCUCACGCCAGUCAAACUCUUCAGGCAGACCAUUAGUGGGAAGCACCGGAGCUUUAUUAGCAUCCGCCGGAAGCUUCAAAGACUUCUUCAACCCAAGAUACUUCUUCCGGAACUCAGCCGGAGUCAAAUCAGAAAACUUCGUCACACCAUGCUGAGCCGUCGGAUCAAGCACCUGGUGACGCUCAGCUCGGCAGGUACGGCGGCCUGUUCUUCUUCCGGGAUUACUUGA
rnacentral:lncRNA from 1 species